rnacentral:rRNA from 1 species
UACGUAGGGUGCAAGCGUUAAUCGGAAUACUGGGCGUAAAGCGUGCGCAGGCGGUGAUGUAAGACAGGUGUGAAAUCCCCCGGGCUUAACCUGGGAACUGCAUUUGUGACCGCAUCGCUGGAGUGCGGCAGAGGGGGAUGGAAUUCCGGCGUGUAGCAGUGAAAUGCGUAGAUAUGCGGAGGAACACCGAUGGCGAAGGCAAUCCCCUGGGCCUGCACUGACGCUCAUGCACGAAAGCGUGGGGAGCAAACAGG